UACGUAGGGUGCGAGCGUUGUUCGGAAUUACUGGGCGUAAAGGGCGCGUAGGCGGCCUGUUAAGUCGAACGUGAAAUCCCCGGGCUCAACCCGGGAACUGCGUCCGAUACUGGCAGGCUUGAAUCCGGGAGAGGGAUGUGGAAUUCCAGGUGUAGCGGUGAAAUGCGUAGAUAUCUGGAGGAACACCGGUGGCGAAGGCGACAUCCUGGACCGGUAUUGACGCUGAGGCGCGAAAGCCAGGGGAGCAAACGGG
rnacentral:rRNA from 1 species